rnacentral:rRNA from 1 species
UACGGGGGGUGCGAGCGUUGUCGGAAUUACUGGGCGUAAAGGGCGCGUAGGUGGCCUGCUAUGUCGAACGUGAAAUCCCUGGGCUCAACCCAGGAACUGCGUCCGAAACUGGCAGGCUCGAAUCCGGGAGAGGGAUGUGGAAUUCCAGGUGUAGCGGUGAAAUGCGUAGAUAUCUGGAGGAACACCGGUGGCGAAGGCGGCAUCCUGGACCGGUAUUGACGCUGAGGCGCGAAAGCCAGGGGAGCAAACGGG